rnacentral:rRNA from 1 species
AGAGUUUGAUCCUGGCUCAGAUUGAACGCUGGCGGCAUGCUUUACACAUGCAAGUCGAACGGCAGCACGGGGGCAACCCUGGUGGCGAGUGGCGAACGGGUGAGUAAUAUAUCGGAACGUACCCGGAAAUGGGGGAUAACGUAGCGAAAGUUGCGCUAAUACCGCAUAUGCCCUAAGGGGGAAAGCGGGGGAUUCGCAAGAACCUCGCGUUUUCGGAGCGGCCGAUAUCGGAUUAGCUAGUAGGUGAGGUAAAGGCUCACCUAGGCGACGAUCCGUAGCUGGUCUGAGAGGACGACCAGCCACACUGGAACUGAGACACGGUCCAGACUCCUACGGGAGGCAGCAGUGGGGAAUUUUGGACAAUGGGCGCAAGCCUGAUCCAGCCAUGCCGCGUGAGUGAAGAAGGCCUUCGGGUUGUAAAGCUCUUUCAGCCGGAAAGAAAACGCACGGGUUAAUACCCUGUGUGGAUGACGGUACCGGAAGAAGAAGCACCGGCUAACUACGUGCCAGCAGCCGCGGUAAUACGUAGGGUGCGAGCGUUAAUCGGAAUUACUGGGCGUAAAGCGUGCGCAGGCGGUUUUGUAAGACAGAUGUGAAAUCCCCGGGCUUAACCUGGGAACUGCAUUUGUAACUGCAAGGCUAGAGUACGGCAGAGGGGGGUAGAAUUCCACGUGUAGCAGUGAAAUGCGUAGAUAUGUGGAGGAAUACCGAUGGCGAAGGCAGCCCCCUGGGUCGAUACUGACGCUCAUGCAC